rnacentral:rRNA from 1 species
CGCGGCCUAUCAGCUUGUUGGCGAGGUAAAGGCUCACCAAGGCAUUGACGGGUAGCUGGUUUGAGAGGACGAUCAGCCACACUGGGACUGAGACACGGCCCAGACUCCUGCGGGAGGCAGCAGUGGGGAAUCUUGCGCAAUGGGCGAAAGCCUGACGCAGCAACGCCGCGUGGGGGAUGAAGGCUCUCGGGUUGUAAACCCCUUUCAGCAGGGACGAAAUUGACGGUACCUGUAGAAGAAGCCCCGGCCAACUACGUGCCAGCAGCCGCGGUAACACGUAGGGGGCGAGCGUUGUCCGGAAUUAUUGGGCGUAAAGGGCUCGUAGGCGGUUCGGUAAGUCAGAUGUGAAAGGUUGGGGCUCAACCCUAAGACUGCAUUUGAUACUGCCGUGACUAGAGUCCGGUAGAGGAGUGUGGAAUUCCUGGUGUAGCGGUGAAAUGCGCAGAUAUCAGGAGGAACACCGACGGCGAAGGCAGCACUCUGGGCCGGUACUGACGCUGAGGAGCGAAAGCGUGGGUAGCAAGCAGGAUUAGAUACCCUGGUAGUCCACGCCGUAAACGUUGGGCACUAGGUGUGGGACCUUAUCAACGGGUUCCGUGCCGUAGCUAACGCAUUAAGUGCCCCGCCUGGGGAGUACGG